rnacentral:lncRNA from 1 species
GAUUUUAUUUUCUUCCAAUUUGUUUUUGUAGUCGAAGUAUUGUUUUUUUCCUCGACUUUGUUGGGAAGGCAUGGCAGCGGCAAUAGAUAUAUACAGUAGCAGCAGGACAGUCUUCUCAGAAAGAGAAGAACUUAUGAAAGCACUUGAACCUUUUAUGAAAGGUGCUUCAUCAACCUCUUCUUUAACUUCUCCUUAUCCCUAUCCCUCUACUUCAUCUCUCUCUCCUCCUUCUACUUCUUCUUCUUCUCUUCCCUUCUUCUCUUAUCCUCCAGACUCUACACAGCCCAACAUGUACCCUGAUUUUUGCUCGACAUCGACAACCCACGUGUUUUCUCAAGGGUUCUCAGGUUACGACCAAAUGGGUCUUGAGCAAACAGGUUCAAUCGGGCUAAACCACAUCACCCCAGCUCAGAUUCUCCAAAUUCAAGCCCAAAUCCAGUUCCAACAGCAGCAGCAGCAACGCAUGGCUGCCGUGGCUACAGCUUCAUCCAUCCAGAACCAGAGGCUAAGCCAAUGGCAGCAGCAACAGCAACAGCAGCAACAUACCCUAAACUUCCUCGGCCCCAAAGCCAUCCCCAUGAAGCAGGUUGGAACUCCCCCGAAACCAGCUAAGCUCUAUCGAGGAGUGAGACAGCGGCAUUGGGGAAAAUGGGUUGCGGAGAUCAGACUUCCUAAGAACCGUACCCGCCUGUGGCUUGGCACUUUCGAUACUGCAGAAGAAGCGGCUUUGGCCUAUGAUAAGGCCGCUUUUAAGCUCAGGGGAGAGUUCGCCAGGCUCAAUUUCCCAAAUCUCCGGCACCAAGGGUCACUUGUUGCAGGCGAAUUCGGGGACUACAAGCCUCUCCACUCCUCAGUGGAUGCGAAGCUUCAAGCCAUUUGCCAAAACUUGGCUAUUUCGCAGAAACAGGGGAAUUCAAGGAAGGCCUGCCUAGUCUCCGAUGNNNNNNNNNNNNNNNNNNNNNNNNNNNNNNNNNNNNNNNNNNNNNNNNNNNNNNNNNNNNNNNNNNNNNNNNNNNNNNNNNNNNNNNNNNNNNNNNNNNNAUACUGCUGCGUCGCCGUCAAGUCGGAUGUUUUAAUGUUGCAAAAUGCUAUAUAAAACGAAAAUCAAGUGUUUACUUUUCACCAUCUAUCAUUCCAAUUAAAUCCUAAUCGAGGAUCUCUGAUCUAUCCGCUGUUGAUGAUUUGAUAUCCGACGGUCCGAUUUGCUUGCUUUGUACUUACUAUGAUAGUACUAGAAUACAGGAUCAAUGCGCCCACCGAAUUAUGAUUAAAUUUCGGUGGCAGAUGGCAGGCGUGCCAACGUUAUUAGAAAGAACAAAAAUGUAUUUAACUCCAAGAGGGAACAGGGACACCGUAUUAGAGUCAACCAAAUUUGCAUCCAAUCUGAAUCUGACGCGUGUAAAGUUGGGCUGUGGACGGACACCUGCCGGUCACUCAAAGGAUUGUGGCAUACGUGUCGCUUGGGCAUUGGUGAUCGCUCAUCGAUUGGAGGCCCAUUGAAGUUGACGAGGUGAGGGGUGAGUGAUGAUUAAGUAAAGAAAAAUGGUAGUUGGAGAGAGAAAACACAUGGGGCAGGGGUUAUAUAAAGAGGGAAGGAGUUGCCUUAAUAUUCAGAGUGAAAAAAAGCGAGGCCACAACUGAAAGAGCGAUAGAUAAUCUCCGCUCCCGCUUGUUUCUGCAGCAGUGUUUGAUCUUCUCUCUCUUUCUCCCCCCCUCUGUAGCUCCCCGCUUCUCUGAAUCCCUUUCUGUCGUCGUCUGUCUUUCAACUACUUAUUUGGGGUUUGUUUUUAAACCGAAUUUAAUCUAAAAGAGGAAGCAAACUCACGAGGGUGUUUUUGAAAGUCAGGUGAUUCAGAAUAGAGAUCCAGGAUUUUUUUCUCCUGUUUGUGUAAAGUUUUAGUUUUAAUUUGAUCAGAAAUCAGAACAACUGAGAGGGUUAUUUUUCUUCCCUCUGGUUGAUUUUGGUGACCUCUUUGGCUCUUUGUUUGUGCCAAAAAAAAAAAAAAAAAAAAAUCGUUUGGUUUUUCUUGUUUUCUCCAAGUACCUGUUCUUUAAUUUUGGUAAGAAACAGGUUGGCUUUGACAAGGUUUUUCAGAUUUUAUUUUCUUCCAAUUUGUUUUUGUAGUCGAAGUAUUGUUUUUUUCCUCGACUUUGUUGGGAAGGCAUGGCAGCGGCAAUAGAUAUAUACAGUAGCAGCAGGACAGUCUUCUCAGAAAGAGAAGAACUUAUGAAAGCACUUGAACCUUUUAUGAAAGGUGCUUCAUCAACCUCUUCUUUAACUUCUCCUUAUCCCUAUCCCUCUACUUCAUCUCUCUCUCCUCCUUCUACUUCUUCUUCUUCUCUUCCCUUCUUCUCUUAUCCUCCAGACUCUACACAGCCCAACAUGUACCCUGAUUUUUGCUCGACAUCGACAACCCACAUGUUUUCUCAAGGGUUCUCAGGUUACGACCAAAUGGGUCUUGAGCAAACACGUUCAAUCGGGCUAAACCAC